ACUUACGGCCAUACCAUCCUGAAUACGCCCGAUCUCGUCUGAUCUCGGAAACUAAGCAGGGUCGGUCCUGGUUAGUACUUAGAUGGGAGACUACCUGGGAAUACCAGGUGCUGUAAGUG
rnacentral:rRNA from 1 species